rnacentral:rRNA from 1 species
AGUGAACGCUGGCGGUAGGCCUAACACAUGCAAGUCGAACGGCAGCACAGUAAGAGCUUGCUCUUACGGGUGGCGAGUGGCGGACGGGUGAGGAAUACAUCGGAAUCUACUUUUUCGUGGGGGAUAACGUAGGGAAACUUACGCUAAUACCGCAUACGACCUACGGGUGAAAGCAGGGGAUCUUCGGACCUUGCGCGAUUGAAUGAGCCGAUUUCGGAUUAGCUAGUUGGCGGGGUAAAGGCCCACCAAGGCGACGAUCCGUAGCUGGUCUGAGAGGAUGAUCAGCCACACUGGAACUGAGACACGGUCCAGACUCCUACGGGAGGCAGCAGUGGGGAAUAUUGGACAAAGGGCGCAAGCCUGAUCCAGCCAUACCGCGUGGGUGAAGAAGGCCUUCGGGUUGUAAAGCCCUUUUGUUGGGAAAGAAAAGCAGCAGGUUAAUACCCCGCUGUUCUGACGGUACCCAAAGAAUAAGCACCGGCUAACUUCGUG